CUUAAAAAUGAAUAUAUGAAAAAUGAGUUGAGAGAAUGAAUUACCCAACCAUUAACCGGGUUCCAUACAGAUGCAGGGCAAUUAGAUCCAUUUGAGCAAGGGUUACACAAUAUUACAAGAAUGGGUGGUACUUGUAUAAAUAGCCCUCAAAAACAUAGGGUUUGAAUCAUUCAAAAGAACAUGUGAGGAUAUAGUGCCGCUUUUGGAUUGAGUUUGAAAUGCAAAUAAGAUGAUGACAUAGUGAUGCUUUCAGAUUGAAUUGGGAGAAAGAAACUUGUGAUCCCAUGGAAGGAUAACUUUAACGAAAUCUAGCCUGUGUCUAUCAUAUGAAGAUAUUUCUCACUGUAACCAAGUGGAAAGAAUAUGAGCACUGAACCUUAUUUUUGGUGGAAAAAUCUCCAAUAGUUGAAGAGGCAGAAUACCAAACAGAUGCAUGUCUUCUUGCUUACUAAACUUAUCACUAGUCAUAAUAUACUUCUCUUGUGAAUAUUCUUUUCACCUGCUCAAGAGUCAAAAACAUAAUGACAUUCCAAGAUCCCAGACGACCAAAAUUUGGGAGGAAGCCCUUAUAAAAGGCAGAAAACCCCUGCAGUGCAUAGUGGCUGCAAGUCACUACCAACAUAAUCAAGGUAGUGUUUCCAUUGGUUCUCAUAUAAUAUUAGACAUUGAUUCCCCUUCAAUCCACUAAGAACAGUUGAAUAAACAAAAAUUUUUAAGAAACUUGGGUUAAAAAGGAGUGAGAUUAAUAGGGAAAACAAAGUUAACCAUGGACAUGAUAAUUUGUAAUGAUAAAGCAGGUUAAACAACUUCCUAUACAGUUUCUGGAAUUACAGAAACAUCAAAGAGUUAGAAGUUCCCAAUAUCAGCUUUGAAUCUUCAACUGCUAUUUAAAUUAGUACAGCUAAAUGUCAGCAUAGCACACGGUAUGGAAGGAACCCAGAUGAAAACUUAGACCAAGUUAACAGUUAGCUACCUCAUUCUUCAGUGUCUUGAUGAAACAGUCAAGAGUGCUUUUGUACGAUGAGUCUCCCAUCAUUCUAGAUUUCACCUGGAACACAACAUGCACAGCAUCGAAUCCAGUAUUGACUGACUAUGUCACCACCAUUCAUCAAAAAGUCUAUAGAAUUGCAAAAUAUAAUCAAAAUGUAAAGAAUUUGUAACACAAACUCCAGUGACACAAUACAACCUUUGUUAUUCCUGUGCUGAAUUCUCUAGAUUAUGUGAGGGCAUGUCGGGUUUAUUUUGGAAAUGGAAUGAAAAUGGACAUGUCUAAAUUUCAAGAUCCUUAUUCCAAGUUUAUUUUGGAAAUAAUGAAAUGGAUGCUAUUUUAAUACAAGUUCAAACUAUUUAGAUGCAAAAAUAUCAUAAAUUAUUUUGGUUCCUUGUGAACCGAACAAAAAAAACAAUUCUAUUUCAAGAAUUGCAUUCCAUUCCUAUUUUCAAAGCAAACCAAACACUGCCAAAAUGUCAGAUAAACAUCAACGGUCACUCGUGAGUUCUGAAUAAAGUCAAUUGCAACAAUAGCAAAAUAUCUUACCAGCUUCAUUAUCAUUUCAAUACUAUGAUUAUUGUUUCAAUAACUUUUAGAACAAUGCCUAUUCAAUAGGCUUAUCACUAAAAAUGGUCUUAGCAAAAAGAAACAAAGCCCAUAGAAAAGUAGAAUUAUGGCUAUAAGCAAUGAUGAAGAUAAUGUUGACUUUUUUUUAGCUACUACUAUUUAUUGGCCAGAUUUACAAGCAAGUGGACAAAGGAAACUUACCACAUCAAUGGGAGAACCAAUACAGACUGCAAAAAACCCUGUUUCACUUGAUCAUAACUGGCUAGUUCAGCAGCAUUUAUAAUAGCAUUUCGUGCUAUGUUGGGUCCAAGUCCAGUCCACAAGGCACCUAGUCCUUCCUAAUUUAAAAAGAUUAAAGCAUAAAUAUACUAGGCCUAGAGGGAAAAAAGGCAAACCUUUAUAGUUUUUGCAAUUAAGUUACAAUAAUCCUUUUAAUUUAUUAAUUUUGGGCCUAUUUUAAAGGUUAGUUGUAAAUUUGCCCAAUGGUCAUACUUGAGUUAGGGGUGCUUACGUGGCAAUUGACGAUGAUGAAAAUAUUAAUUUUAAAUUGAGGAACCCACAUAAUUCAAUUAAAAUAUUAUUUUUGAAAAUUUUAGGUUGGGUCCCACAAUUUAAAAAAUAAUAUUAUUGUCCAAGUUGUAAGCUCCCUAGACUUCAAAUUUUCACCGUUGGACAUGGUUAUAACUAACCUCAGAAACUAUAACGAAAUUGCUACAAUUAAAAGGAUAGGACAUAAUUGCAAAAACAUGAAUUACUAGCAAUAAAAUGACUACUGCGUUGUAGGAAACUAGCCUGUCUCACUAUGGUAAAAUAAGCAUCCAAAGCUCCAGCAUAUCGCCUAGGCACACCACUUGGUGAUUUUCCUUCAGCUUGCAGCCGCACUUUAACAAGAUCAGUUGGAUUAGCAACUGCAAUUGCUAUAGCACCUGUUAUAAAAGCUGCAAGUAUCUUCUGGUAUAAAGGAAUAUCUCCAACAAAAUCACUGCCAACCAUAAAUGUUUUGACAGGUUCAUAUAAUCCAAUCCUUAAGCCUCCAUAAAUGAACUGACGAUGUAAUCCUGCAGUGAUGCCUUUCCAAAGUGCUGCUAAACCUUCUUCCCUAGCAAUAGUAGCUACCGUCCCCAGCAAACCCCUGUAUUUAGGUAUUGAUCCAUCCCCAGUAGAAGUUUUCCGUUGGAGCUGAAGCCUAACUUUGGCAGUGUCUAAAGGAAUGGUACAGAACUCGGCAAAACAAGCAGCGAAGGCACUGCAGAGAAAGACUUCAGCGAAGGAAAUCUCAGAUUUAGGCUUGAGAUCUGACAUGAGGAGAGAAGAAGGGCACUGGACAAUAAUAAGAGCGAGAGAGAGAGAAAGGAUUCAGGGUAUUAAAAACAGAGCAGUGGAGUGAUCAUGAAGAAGAGGGGCAUGAAAAAAAACAGGUUUCUGUUGGCUAAUGGAGAGCCAUUGAAGGUUGAGUGAAGCUAGCCGAGUUUUUCAGUUAUUGCUGGCCUUCUAUUGCUCAUUUUAU
rnacentral:misc_RNA from 1 species